GUCUACAGCUAUACCACCCUGAACACACUUGAUCCCAUCUGAUCUCUGAAGCUAAGCAGGGUCAUGCCUGGUUAGUCCUUGGAGACUGCCUAGGGAUACCGGGUGCUGUAGGCU
rnacentral:rRNA from 1 species